AAGGACGGGCACGCUGGUAUGAUUAACACAUGCAGUUGAACGAGGAUUUAUCCUAGUAGCGGACGGGUGAGUAAUACGUGAGAAUCUGCCUUUAGGAGGGGAAUAACAAUUGGAAACGAUUGCUAAUGCCCCAUAUGCUUACGAGUGAAAUGAUUUUUUCGCCUGAAGAUGAGCUCACGCCUGAUUAGUUUGUUGGUAGGGUAAUGGCCUACCAAGACUACGAUCAGUAGCUGGUUUGAGAGGAUGAUCAGCCACACUGGAACUGAGACACGGUCCAGACUUCUACGGAAGGCAGCAGUGGGGAAUUUUCCGCAAUGGGCGAAAGCCUGACGGAGCAAUACCGCGUGAGGGAUGACUGCCUAUGGGUUGUAAACCUCUUUUAUUAAGGAAGAUAAUGACGGUACUUAAUGAAUAAGCAUCGGCUAACUCCGUGCCAGCAGCCGCGGUAAUACGGGGGAUGCAAGCGUUAUCCGGAAUCAUUGGGCGUAAAGAGUCUGUAGGUUGCUUAGUAAGUCUGCUGUUAAAUAUUAGAGCUCAACUUUAAGCAAGCAGCAGAAACUACUAGGCUAGAGUGUGGUAGAGGUAGAGGGAAUUCCCAGUGUAGCGGUGAAAUGCGUAGAUAUUGGGAAGAACACCAGAAGCGAAGGCGCUCUACUGGGCCAUGACUGACACUGAGAGACGAAAGCUAGGGGAGCAAAUGGGAUUAGAUACCCCAGUAGUCCUAGCCGUAAACGAUGGAUACUAGAUGUUGUGCGUAUCGAUCCGUGCAGUAUCGUAGCUAACGCGUUAAGUAUCCCGCCUGGGAAGUACGCUCGCAAGAGUGAAACUCAAAGGAAUUGACGG
rnacentral:rRNA from 1 species